GCAAGUCGAACGAGGUCCUUCGGGGCCUAGUGGCGCACGGGUGCGUAACGCGUGGGAAUCUGCCUUUCGGUACGGAAUAACUCAGGGAAACUUGUGCUAAUACCGUAUGACGUCGCGAGACCAAAGAUUUAUCGCCGAAAGAUGAGCCCGCGUAGGAUUAGCUAGUUGGUGGGGUAAAGGCCUACCAAGGCGACGAUCCUUAGCUGGUCUGAGAGGAUGAUCAGCCACACUGGGACUGAGACACGGCCCAGACUCCUACGGGAGGCAGCAGUGGGGAAUAUUGGACAAUGGGCGAAAGCCUGAUCCAGCAAUGCCGCGUGAGUGAUGAAGGCCUUAGGGUUGUAAAGCUCUUUUACCCGGGAUGAUAAUGACAGUACCGGGAGAAUAAGCCCCGGCUAACUCCGUGCCAGCAGCCGCGGUAAUACGGAGGGGGCUAGCGUUGUUCGGAAUUACUGGGCGUAAAGCGUACGUAGGCGGUGACUCAAGUCAGAGGUGAAAGCCCGGGGCUCAACUCCGGAAUUGCCUUUGAAACUAGGUCGCUUGAACGUCGGAGAGGUGAGUGGAAUUCCGAGUGUAGAGGUGAAAUUCGUAGAUAUUCGGAAGAACACCAGUGGCGAAGGCGGCUCACUGGACGACUGUUGACGCUGAGGUACGAAAGCGUGGGGGAGCAACAGGAUUAGAUACCCUGGUAGUCCACGCCGUAAACGAUGAUAACUAGCUGUCC
rnacentral:rRNA from 1 species